rnacentral:rRNA from 1 species
GACGUAGGGCGCGAGCGUUGUCCGGAUUUAUUGGGCGUAAAGAGCUCGUAGGCGGCUUGUCGCGUCGAAUGUGAAAAACUCGGGGCUCAACCCCCGCGCUUUGCAUUCGAUACGGGCAGGCUCGAGUUCGGUAGGGGAGACUGGAAUUCCUGGUGUAGCGGUGAAAUGCGCAGAUAUCAGGAGGAACACCGGUGGCGAAGGCGGGUCUCUGGGGCCGAUACUGACGCUGAGGGAGCGAAAAGCGUGGGGGAGCGAACAGG